UCCUGUGGCAGUAGGUGAUCCCAUUAUGUUCUGCUUUCACAAAUAAAGUUUCAUCUCCAUUUCCUUCCAUCACUUCACAUGGAUGAGGUGGGGAUCUGGAGAUUCUCUGAAGAAGAGAAAGCAUCUGUCCAGGCCUGAGGUGCUACCUGAUGUCACAGUAGUUUUGGAACAGGCUUUGUUGGGGACACCUUAGCUCUGUUUGGUGUCCUUUUGUCUGUUGUGGAUCUUCUGGCUGCAGAAGGAACAUGCAGCCAUUUGGUUGCCGAUACUGAAAGAGGUCUAGGAGACAGCAGCUCCGUGCUACUGGAGGUGCUGCAGUGCCCAGGUCUCCAAAAAAGUGUUGGCCAUGCAGUAGCAGCUUGAGGCUGCACCUGAAGGCAGGGGAGUGGGGAGCAACAGCCGACAUCACGGUGGAAGGACUCGGACGACGUGGGCUGGGAGGCUGCAGGUCCCUGUCACCUUCCUCUGCCAUCAGACACUGUGUGCAGGAAAGGGUGGACCCUCAUUACCUGAGUGAUUGCAAGGAAACUUCUGCUUUCACUUCCUAAGUCAAGAUGAUGUUAAUAAUGUCACAUUCCUCGAGCACUUAUCUGUGUGCAUGUCAGUAAAUAUUAAACCUGGCGAGGAAUGAAUGACCUUCCUACUCCUCCUCCUUGCUCAACUCCCUUCGGAGCACAGCGCUGGUGGUGCACUGGGCUCAGGUUCAUGUCCUUCCCUGCCCUCUCCUACCCUGUGGGAGGACCAGGGGGCCGAGGUACAGAAGAAAAUACUGAUGCAG